AGUGAACGCUGGCGGUAGGCCUAACACAUGCAAGUCGAACGGCAGCACAGUAAGAGCUUGCUCUUACGGGUGGCGAGUGGCGGACGGGUGAGGAAUACAUCGGAAUCUACUUUUUCGUGGGGGAUAACGUAGGGAAACUUACGCUAAUACCGCAUACGACCUACGGGUGAAAGCAGGGGAUCUUAGGACCUUGCGCGAGUGAAUGAGCCAAUGUCGGAUUAGCUAGUUGGCGGGGUAAAGGCCCACCAAGGCGACGAUCCGUAGCUGGUCUGAGAGGAUGAUCAGCCACACUGGAACUGAGACACGGUCCAGACUCCUACGGGAGGCAGCAGUGGGGAAUAUUGGACAAUGGGCGCAAGCCUGAUCCAGCCAUACCGCGUGGGUGAAGAAGGCCUUCGGGUUGUAAAGCACUUUUGUUGGGAAAGAAAAGCAGCAGGUUAAUACCCCGCUGUUCUGACGGUACCCAAAGAAUAAGCACCGGCUAACUUCGUG
rnacentral:rRNA from 1 species